CACUGAGGGAGGCAUUUGGAGAUGCUUCAGCUGACAGAUCACUGCUGGGCCACUACGGGUUUUGUGUUUGCCGUCCAGCAGCCGAGCGUCACUGACAGAACUGCUUCCUUGUUGACUGGCGACACUCGAAACUCCCCCGGGAUUGACUGAGCUCUCUGUGAGGGACGGGAGAAAGAUAAGGAGGGAAAUGGGCGAGAGUCAUUGGUGUGUUUGUGGAUGGGUCUUCAGCGGUACCAAACCGUGGCAAGCAUCGUCCGUCUGGCUCCCCUCGCCGACGCUUGCGAUUUGUAGAAGUCACACAGUACACUGAUUGCCAAUAAUGAUGAGCUGGCGAAGAGAGGCAGAGGGAGAGAUGAGUUUGAUUGCCUUCUGGUCAUUCCGGGGAAGUGGAGGAGCAGAAAAAAGCAGGAAGGUAAAGAGUAAGAAAGAGGAGGAAAGCAGUGUCCCAGUGCUCUUCAUCGUCAUUACAACCACCAUCAUCAUCAAAAAGGUCUUGCCCUUUGAAAGAGUGAGUGUGCGAAAGAGAUCUGAUAAGCACGAGCUUUAGGGUUUGUGGCGCUGGAGUCCUUUUGGUGUCAAACCCACUGGAGAGUCCGUCUGGCUUCGACUGUUUCUUUAAUGGCGACGACAGUCUUGAGCACACAGCCAAC
rnacentral:lncRNA from 1 species